UACAGAGGAGCCAAGCGUUGUCCGGAUUUAUUGGGUUUAAAGGGUGCGUAGGCGGCUUUGUAAGUCAGUGGUGAAAUAUGGCAGCUCAACUGUCAGGGUGCCAUUGAUACUGCGGAGCUUGAGUACAGAUGAGGUAGGCGGAAUUGACGGUGUAGCGGUGAAAUGCUUAGAUAUCGUCAAGAACACCGAUAGCGAAGGCAGCUUACUGGGCUGUAACUGACGCUGAGGCACGAAAGUGUGGGGAUCAAACAGG
rnacentral:rRNA from 1 species